UGCAGUGUAUGGAGCUAAUCGCUAGAGAGAAAGUGACGACUCGUACGGGUUUGAAAAACGCCACACUCGACCUAUCACUACUAAUGGAAGCAUCUGAAUUGUAUAAACAAGGUUCAACGAAAUUUACUCUACUACGUAUGUCCACUGGAGCAUAAUCGAUAUCAAGACCAUUGACAUGACCUGAAUGUGAAUAAGACAUUGACCUCGCCCUGGACUUUCAUCACCUAAAGCUUUGUGUAAUUGAUCCAAAAGGAAUCGCCCAAAACGACAAGUCAUGGGACAAUUGUGUCCUGUUGCAAGAUUGGACCCGUUUGACCUUGACCUUGACCUUGGUUUGUUUGGAGCCUAAUCCCUCAGGUGGGACUCUCGAGCGGGUUGCUUUAUCCUGGAAUGGCUCCCAGGGAUCAAGGCUAAUCUGGAAGCUUUCCGGCGAUUGGAAGCAAUCCGACAAAUGUGCGAGGACAUUCUGGGGCGAGUGUCCGCAUUUGGGACACCAUUGGAUGGAUUGAAGCGGUAGGUUGAGUUGGAUCCAGGAUGAGGGUGGGACAUCGCCAUCGAGUGGAGCCAAGGAGUCCGGGUCAUCGCCAUCGAGUGGAGCCAAGGAGUCCGGGUCAUCGCCAUCGAGUGGAGCCAAGGAGUCCGGGUCAUCGCCAUCGUUGUCCAUUACCUUUCAUACCUUUAUCGUCGAGAAAUCUGUCAUGGGAAUUUUUGGGACUUUCCCGUCCUUUCAAUCUAGUUUGUUUU